rnacentral:rRNA from 1 species
AACGAACGCUGGCGGCAGGCUUAACACAUGCAAGUCGAGCGCCCCGCAAGGGGAGCGGCCGACGGGUGAGUAACGCGUGGGAACGUACCUUUUGGUUCGGAACAACUCCGGGAAACUGGAGCUAAUACCGGAUAAGCCCUAACGGGGAAAGAUUUAUCGCCGAAAGAUCGGCCCGCGUCUGAUUAGCUAGUUGGUGAGGUAACGGCUCACCAAGGCGACGAUCAGUAGCUGGUCUGGGAGGAUGAUCAGCCACACUGGGACUGAGACACGGCCCAGACUCCUACGGGAGGCAGCAGUGGGGAAUAUUGGACAAUGGGCGCAAGCCUGAUCCAGCCAUGCCGCGUGAGUGAUGAAGGCCUUAGGGUUGUAAAGCUCUUUUGUCCGGGAAGAUAAUGACUGUACCGGAAGAAUAAGCCCCGGCUAACUUCGUG